rnacentral:lncRNA from 1 species
GCAACCAUAGCCCAAGGGCUGCUCUGUCUAUGGAGUAGCCAUUCUUUAUUCCUUUACUUUCUUAAUAAACUUGCUUUCGCUUUACUCCAUCAACUCACCCUGAAUUCUUUUUUGAGUGAGAUCCAAGAACCCUUUCUGGGGGUCUGGAUCAGGACCCCUGUCCAGUAACACUAACUUGAAAGGACAUUUGGAAAUGUAAUGUAGCUGUGAGCCUAGAAGGAUGGGGAAAGAAUUUGUGCAUUUGAACUUCAGUGGACUCCCUAUUUUCAUGGCUUUCUGGACUUUAAACUUACUGCUGAUUGAUUGAAAAAGCUUAUAUCUACUACUUUAUAUUAAGUGAGUCUCCAUGGCUACAGUUUGCUGAAGUGUGUUGCUGAGAAAUUGAUGAGAGAAAGAUGACAUCCAAAUCUCUUCCAAAAGAGAAUAAUGAAGGAGGAAAGGAGUACAAAAAUAGGAGAGAAAAGAGCAAGAAAGAGGUGAAGAAGGAAAAAAGAAUAAACGAGCAAGAUACAAGAGGCAUUUCCAUACUUAGAAACCCAUUUAUUAAACCAUUUAUUAUAAACCCAUUUAUUAAAAAGUUGAAUUCAAUUAAACAUAUUUUUAAAGGGAAGUAUGUCUUAAAGCCUGAAAAUAGUGAAAAAAAUUGAUUAUAAGUUAUUGGCUUUUUCCUUAUAUUAAAUGCAAUAGUUACUUUUCUAACACAAGCAAGGGAGAAAAACAGAAAAAAGAGAAGGAGAUGAGAAAGGAAAAGAAGAAAAUGGAGUAAGGGGAAAUUAUAUGAGAAUAAGAAAAGUAAAACACAAAUGCUUUUAAAAGUGCACUUAGAUUUCUAAAGAAUCACAAGACUUUUUAUACAACACACAUUUUGAUUAAAUAACACUUAAAUAAUGAUUCAAUGCAGUUUGAAACAGUAAUUUCCCCCACAGAACAUGAAUUAAAAAUUAAAGAGACAGGCCGGGCACGGUAGCUCACACCUGUAAUCCCAGCACUUUGGGAGGCUGACGUGGGCAGAUCACCUGGGGUCAGGAGUUUGAGACCAGCCUGGCCAACAUGGUGAAAUCCAUCUCUACUAAAAAAAAUACAAAAAUGCCGGGCAUGGUGGCGUGCACCUAUAAUCCCAGCUACCCAGGAGGCUGAGGCAGAAGAAUCGCUGGAACCCAGGAGGCAGAGGCCGCAGUGAGCCGAGAUCGUGCCACUGCACUCUAGCUUGGGUGACAGAGCAAGACUCCAUCUCAAAAAAAAAAAAAAAAAAAUUAAAGAGACAAAAAAAUCACUUUGGGUUUUAUGAUCAUAAGGUAAAUGAUUAUGCUUAUUAUUUGGAAAAAAAUACAAAUUUUUUUCCCAGAUAAUACUCAUUUAAAAGUUGUAUUUCAUUAAUUAGUUCUGUAUUUCUAAAUUAAGAACACAUGAGAGAAAAAGCCCAAGUAAUAGGGAAACAUUCAUUCAAGGUAGUGAGCCUUUUUACUUGUCCUCAAGGAGAGGUGUACAUAGAGGUCAGGGCACAGAGUUUAGAUACAUGUUGACCCGGGAUCUGGCACCCUGCUUUUUAGCCACCUGACAUUAGGUUUGGGUUCUCCCAGAAGUAAACCUGAGACAAGCAUCAAAAGGUAAGUGGUCUGCCUGGGGAGGGAUCCCAGGAAACACUGGGAAAGGAGCCAGGAGGUGAGAAAAGAAAAAAAAGUAAAUAAGCUAAAAAAAUAAGUAAGUAAAAAGUAAGUAAGUGUGUGUCAAGCCAGCCUUCUGAGGGAAACUGGAUCCCAUCUCAUAGGGAAACUCUGGAGUGCUGUAUAUGUAGAAUACACAUCAGAGUUGGUCACAAAUGAGGAAGAUAGAGAUUUUCUCUUCUUCCUUUCUUACCCACCAACUUCCUGUAUUUCACUGGUAGGGGGCUGCUCCCUGAGGCAUUAACCCUCUGGCACUCCAGCUGGUCCUGCAUAGGACCGAGCCUGUGCCUGUGGCUCCUCAGGCAGAGUGGCAGGUGUUUGCAGUAAGCAGUGUCAGCUAUUACUACUUUAUAUUUGACUGAUACUAUAACACCAGUAUGAUCUUCCUAAAUCAUAUAACAAAAUCUAAGUUAAAAUAACAAAAAUGAAAUACAAUGACUAUUCAUGGGUAUUUGGUAUUGUGCUAAGUCCUAGACAGUUAUUUGGAUAAUUGCAACAAUAUUUACACCGUGACAUGGUUUGGCUGUGCCCCACCCAAAUCUCAUCUGGAAUUGUAGCUCCCAUAAUUCCCACACGUCAUGGGAUGGACCUGGUGAGAGGUAAUUGAAUCACAGGGGUGGGUUUUUCCUGUGUUGCUAUCAUGCUAGUGAUUAAGUCUCAUGAGAUCUGAUGGUUUUAUAAACGGCAGUUCCCCUGCACACACUCUCUUGCCUGCCACCAUGUAAGACAUGCCUUUGCCCCUCCUUUGUCUUCUGCCAUGAUUGUGAGGCCUCCACAGCCAUGCUGAACUGUGAGUCCAUUAAACCUCUUUCCUUUAUAAAUUACCCACUCUUGGAUAUGUCUUUAUUAGCAGCAUGAGAAUGGACUAAUAUACACUGGAAACUGAGACUUCAUUUGGUCAUUUUUGACACCAUGCCACCAGAAUAAAACAGGUACAGGAUAAUGGAUCCUACCAUUGAUUGGAAAUGAUCAUCUGCAGGAAGAGCACCAAUGGAAUACAAAGGGUGGAACCCAAAUGCCUCUAUUUCAGCAUGUCCAGUGUCAAAUGUUCAAAGAAUUGUAUAGCACUUUAUAUAAAUAAGACUCCAAUAAUUAAACUUUUCUAUAUUUCUCUGUCACUUAAGGGAUCUUGGAAGCUGAGUUUCCUUUGGCGCCAAAGAGAACAUGGACUGGACAGAAGAAUUUGGAAGUCAUAAGUACAAACUAUAACUUUAGGAUUUGUUACAGAAAUAAGUAUUGUAUCUUCUACUAUAUUUUCAUUUUUAUGGUUUUAUAAAUAAUUCUAAAAUGCAGCUAAUUUUCAUCGAUCUCUCUUGCCCAUCACAAUUUUCCAAAGGGUGUAUUGUUGGCUAACUUUAUUACUCAGUCUAUGGUCAUGAAUAUUGAGAUGGGAUUGUGAUAGAAUCAAAAAAAGAGAGGGAAUGAAUAUUACUCAGAAAUCCUGGAUUCACUAACUGAGAAGACUUUUUAGCUUGCCUCCAUUUUUUAUUGAACAUGGUCAUGUUACAACAAGCCAUAGCAUUGUCCCUCCCCUAAUGUGGAAGUAUAAAUGCUUAUGUACAGGUAGAGAAGAGAAUUUUAGAGAAAUGGCAGGGUGGAGAAAGUGGGUAGUAGUGGAGAAGUCUCCAUUACCACCAACAAUUUGAAAAAAAUGUAUGAGUUUUGUAUGGCUCAAGUGAACCUCACAAGAGGAAGGUGGGCUUUAGCUUACUUGCUGGAAUCCCAUUCCAGAGGGCUAGCCACAAGGAAUGGAUUUUCAAGUAGCAAGAAUCUAUGGCAUAUGCUGCAGUAGGCAGUCACAGGAGACACUGACAGGAAUUGAUAUGAAAUAGAUUUCACUCCUCAAGGAAAUGUACAGAUAGGAGGGUCCCCAGAAACACACACGAGAGACCAGCGUUUGGAUGCAACCAUAUAGGAAGCAUUGAGGGCCUCUUCUUCUUCCCCUUUAGUUUCCAUUCCCCAAAACACUGAGGAAUAGAGGGACCUGUAAGUGGAUGGGGAAGGAGGAGUAAGUGGCACAUCAGGCUCCCUUUUAUACACUAAGUCCUUUGGGCCUGAACAUGUCUGGUGAGGGCAGCUGGGCGAGGGUGGAUAGGAGGGCUGGAGGAGGUGGAAAUAAGUUUCCACAAGGCAUAUUUACAGGUAGCUAACGGAGAAAAUUAAAAACCAUUUCGUAUCUAUAUCCUACCAAUUUCAGUUAUCUGAAAAAAAAAUUGAAUACUCAGAAAAAAAACAGAAAAUGAGGGAACAGGAAAUAAACUAAGAGUAAAACCAAUUAUAUUGUCAGUGAGUUAUUAGAAUUAAGAAUCCUCUCCUCUUCCCAUAUGUUUUUAAUGUUUUCAUAUAAUACAUGUAAUAAAAAGGUAAUUAUGCCAAAUUCCAUAUACCAUAGUUGAUUAUACACACACACACACACACAAACAAACAUACAUAGAUGUAUGCACACACACACACACAGUCGGCCCUUGAUAUCCAUGGAUUCUGCAUCCAUAGAUUCAACCAACUGCGGAU